rnacentral:lncRNA from 1 species
CAGAUUAUCUCCGGCUUGAGCAGCUGUGAGUCAGAGAUUGGAGUUAUCAGAUAGUAAACGUCUCCUCCUCCUCAGACCUGCGCAGGAGUCCUCGUCUGAAGCAGUUUUCUCGCCGUCACUCGUUCUACUCCAGCUCGCAGCCUCGCUCUCGGAACCUGGACCGGGCUCUGGCCUCGUCGCUCUGCUCCGUGGACGUGAGGACGGUGCGCUCCCCCAUGAGGCUGCUGUUCGGAGCCGCCCAGAGCCCGAGCAGAGGAGGGGAGGGCAGGGCCAGGCUGUCCACCGGCUCCAGCGUCUUCGAGAGUCCUAAUAAAACGCCCACGAAGUCUCCGAGUCAAAGAGGUUUAAAUGGAAACACGAGUCCGAAAACUCCUCCAGCUUCAGGGAUGAGGUUCAGCGAGAGCCCAGCGUUUAACACACGCAGCAGCCCGUUCCACUCCCCCACCACCAGAGGGAGCCCGUUCCACUCCCCCACCACCAGAGCGUUCCACUCCCCCACCAAGAGCCGUUCCACUCCCCCACCACCAGAGGGAGCCCGUUCCACUCCCCCUCCCGGCCAGUGC